ACACACACACUCACACACUCCAGGCUGCGGGUUGGCCAGAGCCUGGAAAUCGCAGAUUUCACCAGGAAAUCGCCGAGGUACCCGAAUAGGUGUUGCCUCCCAAAACUAAUUCCUACUUCCCCAAGCACUUUGGUGAAGAAAUGAAUCCAGCCCAGCUCGCCGAGGCAUCCAGGUCUCCAUUCUAUUUUGGUCUCCAGGCUCUUCGUGAAAGCCAGAUCAAGGGAGAAAGAGAACCGGCAGCUGGCCUCGGACUCUAAGCGGUGCGCAGCUCCAGCCCGAGCGGAUCGGCCCUGAACCCACAAAGGACUCCUCGCUCCUUCAAGCCUCCACCACCUCGCAGCCGGGGAGGCAACUGGAGCGAAACCAGCGACAGAUGCAGCCAUGGACAAGACAAGGAGAGCUUCGUCCCUCCCGCCCCUCAGGUUCCUUCCUGCUGGGGUCUGACCGCGUCUU
rnacentral:sRNA from 1 species